rnacentral:lncRNA from 1 species
AGUGAAGAUGAUGUUGUGGAAGAGAACAGUGCCCCGUAAGAGAUGGGGAAACCAGCACCAGGUCUACCCUUGCCCAUGGAAGCAGAUGGAAUGGAGAGGAAUUUCACCCUGGCCUCCUUCACACUAGCCCCGUGACUCAAAUGAAUGAAGAAGUGAAUCCAAACCUGGAAGUGGAUAUUUUUAAAAAAGUCCCAUCAUCAUUUUGGGAGCUGAGAUGUCCAAGUGUCACAGAGGAGGAUUUCUCAAUGAGGAACUGACCAGCAAGGGAGAAAAAUACCCUUUACAAACACUUCCUGCUAGAAGUCAAAUGGCCCUCGCCUUGCUUCUCCAGGGACGACGGCCUGGCUGAGCCGCACUGAGCAGGUGCUCUUUCCCAGCACAGACGCCCUGCUGUGUCCUGACGGUCCCGCGUUGCCCUCAAUCUGAAGGUGUGGAUAAUUAAGGUAAUGAACACUUUUCCACUAGCUGC